GCCUUCGUGGUGUAGUGGUCAGCACGCUCGACGCGUAACCGAGAGGUCCGUGGUUCGAUUCCCGGCGAAGGUG
rfam:Stegodyphus mimosarum contig117752, whole genome shotgun sequence.